GUUAUAGCUCAGAUGGUAGAGUAUUUGCCUAGGAUGCAAAAGGACCUGGGUUCAAUUCCCAGCACCACUUAAACU